rnacentral:rRNA from 1 species
GACGAACGCUGGCGGCGUGCUUAACACAUGCAAGUCGAGCGGAAAGGCCCUUCGGGGUACUCGAGCGGCGAACGGGUGAGUAACACGUGAGUAACCUGCCCCAGACUUUGGGAUAACCCUCGGAAACGGGGGCUAAUACCGGAUACGACACAGCUUCGCAUGGGGUCUGUGUGGAAAGUUUUUCGGGUUGGGAUGGGCUCGCGGCCUAUCAGCUUGUUGGUGGGGUGAUGGCCUACCAAGGCGACGACGGGUAGCCGGCCUGAGAGGGCGACCGGCCACACUGGGACUGCGACACGGCCCAGACUCCUACGGGAGGCAGCAGUGGGGAAUAUUGCACAAUGGGCGGAAGCCUGAUGCAGCGACGCCGCGUGAGGGAUGACGGCCUUCGGGUUGUAAACCUCUUUCAGCAGGGACGAAGCGUAAGUGACGGUACCUGCAGAAGAAGCGCCGGCCAACUACGUG